CUGUGUGUGUUCAGAGAGUGCUACAGAUAUUCAUCAUAUUCACAGACACCGAAGGAGACUUUCUAACAUUCACAAGUGUGUGCUGCCCCAAGUUCAGCAAAGGUCAUCCAGAAAGCCAAUGUUGAAGGAAAAGUGAGGGUCAUGCUACCUGUGAGAUGAAGCCACCAAAUGGCCCCAAAUGUUAGCCUGCGCACACAUGGGGUCAUUUAUCUUCACUUUUACCAGUAAGAAUGUACACUAAGAAAAUAGGAAAAUAGUGAAACUCAUUGAAACAUGAAGUGGCAGCAACUAAGAAAAGUCUUAAUGCUGUGAUCUGGGAGGAAUUAACACCAAUCAUCACAGAAAACAAAGCUGGGCGGGAGCCUUGGAAAAGCUGAAGAAUGGAAGUGAAGAGGGGAGGACUGAACAGGGUCCCUUAGAGCUGCAGGUGGUGACAUGUACAUCUUUGUUUCCAAUAAUUGGAUCUGGGUUGAAAGAAAAGCCUCUGUGAAAUGAGUUUCCCGUGAAAAUCAGACCUCAACCUUGUAAUGUGAAAUGGUAGGAGGGAGCUUCUGCUUUAAAGACUGGAAUUGUGGAAAGGUGGUCCUCCCCCGGUGCUGUUCUCAGAAAGGCGGGCCGUCGCCUGGAGGAGUGGAGAGAAGGAUGUCUCCAUCUCAAAGGGGAUGGGGCUGAGUAGUCCUGGGCUCCUUCUGCUGUCCCUGCGGUGGAGCCACAAGACCUCUGGAAGACCUUCCUUGUCAUCUGCCGUUUAUCACCUUAGAGACUCCUCUGUGCUGUGUCUAUCUUCUUUGCUUCCACUUUUAGCAAGAAAAGGAAAACUCCCUUUUAGUAGAACACUAUAAACUUUUCAGUUAAAAUAGCAAAGGGAGCAUAUGCAUCUAACAUGCCUCCCUCAUCCCAAUGUCAAAUCCAGAAAGUAACCCAAAAGAGAAGAACGUACGUGAGCGCGGGAGACUGGGGAGGGUACAUUUCCACACACACCAGAAACUUCAAGGGAUUUUUGCAAAAUGUCAUGUAAGGGAAAUGAGAGGCAGAGAAAGGAAUGGGGACGUGUUGAGGGAUAUGUGUCCUCCCCUACGUGGGGAGGCAGUCGCAAUCUUCAUCUCUACCUUGUGGCCCAUGCUACCGAGAUAAGAGGCAAGGUCACGUUCUCUGCUGAGGGCUUCGUGGCUGUGCUGAGGAAGGCUGGGUCACCGGACACUUCUCUAGCGGUUGUGGGGCCCCUGGUUAGCAGCCAGGGGUGGCAGCUCUCAUAGCGUUACAGUGGCCCUGCCUGUACCUGGAGAUGUUGUGAUGGGGGCCCCCAAUGGCAUGGCAGGGAGGAGGAACCACUCUC